rnacentral:rRNA from 1 species
CCUACGGGUGGCUGCAGUCGAGAAUAUUUCGCAAUGGGGGCAACCCUGACGAUGCGACGCCGCGUGGGGGAUGAAGGUCUUCGGAUUGUAAACCUCUGUGUUAUGGGAAGAACUGCUGGUAGGUGAUAAGCUUGCUAGCUUGACGGUACCAUAGUAGAAAGCCCCAGCUAACUGCGUGCCAGCAGCUGCGGUAAUACGUGGGGGGCAAGCGUUGUCCGGAUUUACUGGGCGUAAAGCGUGUGUAGGCGGUUACAUAAGUCGAGUGUGAAAUGGCUUGGCUCAACCAAGCAACUGCGCUCGAAACUGUGUAGCUUGAGUACGGAAGAGGAAAGUGGAAUGUAAGGUGUAGCGGUGAAAUGCGUAGAUAUCUUAUAGAACACCUAUGGCGAAGGCAGCUUUCUGGUCCGAUACUGACGCUGAGACACGAAAGCUUGGGGAGCGAACGGGAUUAGAUACCCGGG